UGCGUAGGCGGCGGGGUAAGUCUGAUGUGAAAUCCUGGGGCUCAACCCCAGAACUGCAUUGGAUACUGCCUUGCUAGAGUACUGGAGAGGAAACUGGAAUUUACGGUGUAGCAGUGAAAUGCGUAGAGAUCGUAAGGAAGACCAGUGGCGAAGGCGAGUUUCUGGACAGUAACUGACGCUGAGGCACGAAGGCCAGGGGAGCAAACG
rnacentral:rRNA from 1 species